CAUUAAGAAUUUUACAUUAAAACACUAAAUAUUUUUGCAAGCGAGAGUCAACAAGAUUCUGCUCGGAGGGUCGUUUCAGUGACUGAAUCGCCAAGCGAAUUGCCAAAAGACAACUCGGAAUCAAGAACAUUAUGCUCAAGAUAAAGUAUUUCAAUAUUAAAAGUGACCACAAGAAGAAGAACCAUGGACAGGCACUGGGAAUACAGCUUAAAGAAAGAAAACUUCUAGCUGUGAUCCAAAAAUAGAUGGACCACACACCGUCUUGAUUGAAUUUCAGUCUUUCUGGGUCACAAACCAAGAUGGCGGCGAGGGGCGCCAAAGGAGUACUCGAUUUUAAAAUACCGAGAUGUAAUCAGGAAUUGUUGAUUGGUGUUCAGCAAGAAUUCACCACGGCGUAUUAUUUAUGGUCCGUUAGAAAAUACAUAGCGUUACAUAGCGGUAGAACAGAGAGUAAUAAACCGGGUGGGCUUUGGAAUAGAAUCAACAAUGUCAAAGAUCGUAACUUCUGAAAGCAUCGAAUAGAACCUUAUCAAGGCUAUUCUCCACUCCAUAUUAUCGACACGUUGAUGACGCUACAAGUAUUCUGCCCUCCAUACCACCUACACGUUAACGAUGCUAUUCUGCACAUCGUAAUCAUCGGCACGACAACUAUUCUGCACAUCAUAUCCCUGAUUCACGGACUACCACACGUUGACGGCGCUGUUAUCCAUACCAUAUUGCCGACACAAUGACGACUCUAUUCUCCACACAAUAACACCGACACGCCGAUGACCCUAUGCACCACACAACACCGCCGACAUACAGCAGCAUUAUUUACACCAUAUGACGACCUUUUCCGUUACACCAUACCACUGACAAAUUGACAGCGCUAUUCUCCACAUCAUAUCACCGGCACAUUGACAUCACUACUCUCCGCACCAAAUCACGGACACAUUGACGUUUCUGUUCAUCUAACCAUAUCAUCGACAAUUUGACGUCACUUUUCUCCGCACCAUAUCAGUGACACACUAACGCCAUUCUUACCAGCAGUAUAGAAGAGCAUGCACAUGUAGGGUCCUUAGAACAUUUCACAAAUAUGCAGAUCUUUUAUUUUUCAAUUCAUAGGUCGAGGAAACAAACUUCGUGUAUAUUUCCAAUUUGAGACUUCAUGGACAACAGAUUGCAUGUCAAAGUAUCAAAGAUAAACAACAAAACGGAAGGGUAACUAAUCGAGGGAAACUUUCAGCACACUACACACAGAGCCAAACAUCGUAGAAAGAACCACAAAAAUUGAAUAAAGAUGUCAUUCUACACAUUGAAAUGUCGAAAUUUAAAAUGGCAUUUUUUUCCAGUGGGAAUAGUUUCCCCUGGCAUGUUUUGAUUUCGAGUCCAGAAAUGGAAAUGCUUGAUUAUGUUAAAAUCGUAAGUAAUAACACAAAAAUAGUUAAAUCAUACUGAUAUUUAUUUAAUAUUUAUGCUGUGACUAUUAUGCUUGUUAUAUGUAUCAUUUAGUGUCACUGACCGGUAAUACAAUGUACAAAACGAUUAUUUGAGGUUAUACCGUUGUCUCUUAGCUCCAGAUUAUGUUCAUGUUCGUAGUACAGUUUCGCUCUUACUUUAAACAAAAAGACGAUAUUUGUGCCAGAAAAUUUGCUGUUUCGAACUCCUUAUUCAUUGUUUGUCAGGUCAGGUUGAAACAUCCACAUAUUAACUUGGUAACAAUUGGCAUAUGUAAACGUGAAGAAAAAGAGUUAAUGGAGUUAAGUUUUAAUUUCUAUAGACUGACUUGUAUUUUCGUGUCCAACGGAAAUAUUUUAGUGCUAUUUCAUUUCUUUCUACAAGUAUUGUUUUUACUGUAUCAGAAAAUGUUUGCAGCAAAGUUGACAUGUUAUGCAAAUAAACAAUUAAUUGAUACUCAUUGAGGUUAAUCAAAGUUUAUGCCACACAUAUCAUUUAAGCAGCUAAUUAAGAGACAGUAUAAGGUAGUGAAAAAUGGUACAUGACUUUCGCCAAUGAUACCUUUUUAGCAAGAAAGUCUUAAGUCAAGGCGAAAUGGCACUGGUUUAGAAGUGAAAAGGAGCUAGAAACAGGAAAUUGUGAAAAGUUCAAUUAGAAAUUUUACUCUGACUUGUCUGAAGUUGGAAAUGCGAUGGGAUGUUCCCCUCGUCGCGCUGAAAGGCAGAAGAUGUAUACUCUUCUCAGUGAAAAGAAAAUAUCAUCUAAAGAGAUGAAGAGAAUACAUGCGAAAAUAGUCCAUAUUUCACUGAAAUGAGGACACUUUAACCGAUCUUCUAAAUUGGAAAGUACGUCCUGUAGUACAGGACGCGAUGAGAAAAAAGUAGUCAACAUCUUGAAAAAUAUUCCCUGUGCCACUUGACAGGAAAAGAUGCCAUGGGAAAAAAUCGUCAGAGCAAAAUUAGUUGCCAUGAGAAAAGCCACUACGUCCCGUUGGAAAGCGGAAGAUGCAACUGGAAAAUAUUCCCUUAUCACUAGAAGUAGACGCUUCCAUUCCCACUGAGUUCGAAAGAUGCAUUGGAAAAAUAGUCAUAAUCCCAAUUAUAGCAGAAAGUGCAAAUGGAUUAUAAGUUCGUUCUGCAGCAAAACAUGAUGGCGAAGAUCUAGUAGAAUAAAUGGGAAAAUACUCCACGUACCACCAAACGCAUAAAGUACUAUGGCGAAAAUUGUACUGUACCCGUUAGAAAGCAGAAGAUGCAAUGGAAAAAUGUUUCCCAGAAAAUUUAAGAAAUAUGGAGAUAUAUUUCCAUCGAAAGUGCAAUGGGUGGAAAUAUUCCUUCACUAAUGUGAGGUUCAGUGGGAAAUUAUUUGAGCAACUGGGAAACCGGAAAGCCAAAUACUAGUAUGAGACCAGAAAACGUUUCCCAUGCCUCCAAAGGCAUAAUAUAUAAUGUGAAAAUAUUUUCCACAAAAGCUGCAAUGGGAAAAUAUUCUGUCAUACGACAGAAAGUUAAAAAUGCAAUGGGAUAAUAUUCAUUUUCACGCUGGAAAAACAAAUGAUGAAAUGGGAAAUUAUCCCAUAGUAACAGCAAAAUAAGUAAAUUAUGAAGCCAGCAGCUGUUUAUAAAGGGAAACAAUGACAAUUUACCUGUGAAACAUGUAAUGUGUAAUUCACGUUCUUGUUACUACGAAAGUUACCGAUGGUGGUUAUGUCGCGUACCCAAAGUCUAACACAGAAAAGAAAUGAAAACCGAUAUUGAAUAUAGAAACCGUAUAUAAUGUUUUUUUUAAUGAUUUUCAGAAUGUUUAGCUGUAAUACCAUUAAAAAUAUAGGCGAAAUAACAAAAAAAUCACUCUUCAGCUGACCUAAACCAAAGGUUCAUAAAAUUUGGUUGGUUGACGUCCAGAAUUUGUUUGUAAACGCACUAGAGUUCACUUUUUUAAAGCAGAAAUGUUCGAUGAUAUGUUGUUUUAGAUUAAUUAAAAGCCUGAUGGGAUGUUAGGUCCUGAGGUAUAAGUGUGCCCUUGAUUGAUAAAAAAUGCUGCAUUUCACGCCCUCUUUAUUUCUUUACCAAUCAUAUUAUACAUACACAUAUCUGCAUUUCUGAGUGUGUGUGUGCGUGCGUGCCUGCCCGUGUGCGCGCGAAUGUAAGUGUGUUAUUCAGAUUUUUGACAUUGUCCGCAGUGGUAUUAAGGUAAGCGAUUUAGUGGCACUCUUGUUUAGUAAAAAAAAAUUCGCUUGUAGUACAAUCUGGAAUUAAAACCAUAUGAUUAAUGAUAUAUGAGCCGCGCCAUGGGAAAACCAACAUCCGCGCAGUCUGGUCAGGAUCUAUGCUGUUCGCUAAUGGUUUCUCUAAUUGCAAUAGGCUUUGAAAGCGAAUAUCAUGGAUCCUGACCAGACUGCGCGGAUGCGAAGGCUGGUCUGGAUCCAUGCUGGUCGCAAACCCACUAUGUUGGUUUUCUCAUGGCGUGGCUCAUAUGAUAACAUGAUUUCUAACAUUAAAUUAAAGUUUUGGUAAUAAUGCAAGUGUACGCAUGUUUUUAUCUUCAUUAUCAGCGUUUGUUUUGACGUUCCAAGAAACCUCUAAUGUAUUUCCAAUUAACCAACUGCCGGAUAAACUUCGGGUCAAUCUGGUACAUAGUAUGGUUUAAUCUGUAACCUUUAUUGGUAGAUAUUUAAUUAGUUCUGCAUGGUUAAAUGGAAUUUGGCAUUCUAGAGGGAGACUAUACGCUGUAGAAACCAUUAUGGCAUUUGAAUAUUAAUUAGUUCUUGUAGGAGGUCACAUGAUUGGUUAAGUUUAACAGACUUCUCUGCACGUGAGCUCGUUCAGGGCAUGAACAAAACAUACAGCAUUUAAGUAACGUCUUGAGUCCUAAAAGGUAUAUUUUCACUUAAUUAGUAGAUAUUUUGAUGGGAAAUGGCAAUUUACAGCUACAGACAGCUCCAGUCAGCAACAUUAGGCAUAUAUUAUGAACAUAUUGAGGUACCGACGAGUAAAUUUUAGACUUUAAAAGAUGGUGCAUACGGAUCUAUUUUAA